rnacentral:rRNA from 1 species
AGAGUUUGAUUAUGGCUCAGGAUGAACGCUGGCGGCGUGCCUAACACAUGCAAGUCGAGCGAAGCGCUUAAGUCAGAAUCUUCGGAGGAAGACUUUUGUGACUGAGCGGCGGACGGGUGAGUAACGCGUGGGUAACCUGCCUUACACAGGGGGAUAACAGUUAGAAAUGACUGCUAAUACCGCAUAAGAUCACAGUACUGCAUGGUACAGUGGUAAAAACUGAGGUGGUGUAAGAUGGACCCGCGUCUGAUUAGGUAGUUGGUGGGGUAACGGCCCAUCAAGCCGACGAUCAGUAGCCGGCCUGAGAGGGUGGACGGCCACAUUGGGACUGAGACACGGCCCAGACUCCUACGGGAGGCAGCAGUGGGGAAUAUUGCACAAUGGGGGAAACCCUGAUGCAGCGACGCCGCGUGAGCGAUGAAGUAUUUCGGUAUGUAAAGCUCUAUCAGCAGGGAAGAAAAUGACGGUACCUGACUAAGAAGCCCCGGCUAACUACGUGCCAGCAGCCGCGGUAAUACGUAGGGGGCAAGCGUUAUCCGGAUUUACUGGGUGUAAAGGGAGCGUANACGGCAUGGCAAGCCAGAUGUGAAAUACCGGGGCUCAACCCCGGGACUGCAUUUGGAACUGUUAAGCUGGAGUGU